GUACUCCCCUCAGCAAUGCAUAUACUAAAAUCUGAAUACAAAGGAAAUUAGCAUGGUCCUUGCACAAAGAUGGCACACAAAUUUGUGAAGUGUUCUAUAUUUUU
ensembl:snRNA U6 U6 spliceosomal RNA